rnacentral:tRNA from 1 species
UGCUUUUAGCCAUUGGCAGUUUGAUUUCGGCUCAAAAAGAGCGGGCAAAACCGCAAAAGUAU